CAACCAUCUAGAGCGGCUCAGAGAUCUGGCUCGAUAACGCCGCAGCAACCCGGUUAGAUUCCACGGGUGCUUCCGCCAGAACCGAUGGGAG
rnacentral:ncRNA from 2 species